AUGGCUCACCGCCACAAUGCUAAGAUGCCAGGCCUACGAGUAGCACACGCUCCCGCGGUUACUCCUGGCCUCGGCUUCAGCUCAACAGAGCAAGGUUUGAGGAUGUCAUCGUCGAGAGGGAAAAAGGAUGAUCGUUUCGUCACCAGAGCAAUGCUUGAGGGUUUCACUGAGCACGCGUUAGAUGUCAUGGCCGUCGCACAAGAGGAGACACGGCUUUUUUUAGGCCAGCACAACCUUGCAAAUGUAGCACGUAUCGUCGCACACACCAUUGUUAUAGUUGCUGUGGGCUAUGCGCUUGAUGAGAUCUUCCGUAGGAUUUUUCAAGCCACGCGUGGUCAAGCCGUUGGUGCUCGUGUUGUGGCAGGAAGCAGUGAAGCUAAGAUGCCGACACUCGAGCAGUAUGGGACGAAUCUUACAAAAUUAGCACAGGAGGGGAAGCUAGCACCUGUUGUCGGAAGGGAAAAGGAGAUCGAGAGCGUCACGCAAAUCUUGGGCAAAAUGAAGAAGAAGAAUCCCUGUCUGAUUGGAGAGCCCGGUGUUGGGAAAACGGUGAUAGUCGAAGGGCUUGCGCUACGUAUCACUGCCGGGGAUGUUCCUGAAACAAUUCAAGGGAAAACGGUUAUCAGCCUUGACAUGGGGCCCCUAGUUGCCGGUACCAAAUACCGUGGAGAGUUCGAAGAAAGGCUGAAGAACUUGAUGGAAGAACUCAAACAGAAUGGCGAGGUAAUACUGUUCCUCGAUGAAGUUCACACCCUGGUAGGAGCAGGAGCAGCAGAAGGUGCUAUCGACGCGGCCAACAUUCUGAAGCCAGCACUGGCAAGAGGUGAAAUUCAGUGUAUCGGAGCCACCACAUUCGACGAAUACGCCAAGCACAUUGAGAAAGACCCUGCGCUGGAGAGGCGGUUCCAGCCUGUGAAAGUUCUAGAGCCCACGGUUGAUGAAGCCAUAGGAAUUCUCAGAGGGCUCCAGGAGGGGUACGAGGACCACCACAAACUCCGAUAUACCGACGAGGCGCUGAUCGCCGCUGCUCGGCUCUCGCAGAGAUACAUCAGUAACCGUUUCCUCCCGGAUAAAGCCAUCGACUUGAUUGAUGAAGCGGGAUCUCAAGUCAGGAUACGUCAUGGCAAGGUACCUGAGGAAGUCAAGGAUCUCUGCAAGAAGCGCGAGGAAAUCAUCAAACGGAGGGACGACGCCGUCCGUUGCCAGAAUUUCGAGCUGGCAAAAGAGCUUCACAUGGAAGAGCUGGAGCUCACGUCCCAGAUCACGUCUGCCGUGCCGAUGGUCACCGAGGCGGACAUCCAGCGCGUCGUCUCCUCGUCGACCGGCAUCCCCGUGGAGAGGGUCUCCGCGGACGAGUCGGCCGGGCUGCUAACGAUGGAGGAGACCCUGCACCGGCGCGUCGUCGGCCAGGACGAGGCCGUGAAGGCCGUGAGCCGCGCCAUGCGCCGCUCGCGCGCCGGCCUUCGCGACCCCAGCCGGCCGAUCGCCAGCUUCGUGUUCGCCGGCCCGACGGGCGUGGGCAAGACGGAGGUCGUCAAGGCGCUCGCCGCGUGCAACUACGGCUCGGAGGAGGCCAUGGUCCGGCUGGACAUGAGCGAGUUCAGCGAGCGGCACGCGGUGGCGAAGCUGGUCGGGGCGUCCCCGGGCUACGUCGGGUACGAGGAGGGCGGGCAGCUGACGGAGGCGGUGCGCCGGCGGCCGUACGCGGUGGUGCUGUUCGACGAGGUCGAGAAGGCGCACAGGGACGUGUACAACAUGCUGCUGCAGGUGCUGGAGGACGGCAGGCUGACGGACGGCAAGGGGAGGACGGUGGACUUCCGGAACACCAUCAUCAUCAUGACGUCUAACGCCGGCAGCGGCGGCGACGGGGAGAUGACGGGCGUGAUGGUCGAGAAGGGGAUGAAGGAGAAGCACGGGUUCCCGCCGGAGUUCCUGAACCGGCUCGACGAGGUGAUCGUGUUCCGGGAGCUCACCAAGCCGGAGAUGAAGGAGAUCGCCUCCAAGAUGCUGGAGGAGGUCGUCCGCCGGAUGAGGGAGAAGGGGAUGGAGCUGCGGGUGACGGAGAGGUUCAAGGAGCUGGUGGCCGAGGAAGGCUACGACCGCAGCUACGGCGCGCGGCCGCUGCGGAGGGCCAUCACCAGGCUGCUGGAGGACAAGCUCGUGGACAUGAUGCUCGCCGGGGAGGCCAAGGAAGGGGAUUCGCUGACUCUAGAUGCUGACGCCGAAGGGAACGUGGUCGUCCACAACCGACGGGCUGGCUGA
rnacentral:rRNA from 1 species